rnacentral:rRNA from 1 species
AUUGAACGCUGGCGGUAUGCUUAACACAUGCAAGUCGAACGGUAACAGGCCUUCGGGCGCUGACGAGUGGCGGACGGGUGAGUAACGCGUAGGAAUCUGCCUCAUAGUGGGGGACAACGUGGGGAAACUCACGCUAAUACCGCAUACGCCCUACGGGGAAAGCGGGGGAGUCUUCGGACCUCGCGCUAUGAGAUGAGCCUGCGUUAGAUUAGCUAGUUGGUAGGGUAAAGGCCUACCAAGGCGACGAUCUAUAGCUGGUCUGAGAGGACGAUCAGCCACACUGGGACUGAGACACGGCCCAGACUCCUACGGGAGGCAGCAGUUGGGGAAUAUUGGACC